GACGAACGCUGGCGGCGUGCCUAAUACAUGCAAGUGGAACGCAGUUGAUUCACCGGAGCUUGCUCCAUCGAAUUAACUGAGUCGCGAACGGGUGAGUAACGCGUAGGUAACCUGUCUUUUAGCGGGGGAUAACUAUUGGAAACGAUAGCUAAUACCGCAUAAGAUCAGAGGACACAUGUUUUCUGUUUAAAAGAUACAACUGUAUCACUAAGAGAUGGACCUGCGUUGUAUUAGCUAGUUGGUAGGGUAGAGGCCUACCAAGGCGACGAUACAUAGCCGACCUGAGAGGGUGAACGGCCACACUGGGACUGAGACACGGCCCAGACUCCUACGGGAGGCAGCAGUAGGGAAUCUUCGGCAAUGGGGGGAACCCUGACCGAGCAACGCCGCGUGAGUGAAGAAGGUUUUCGGAUCGUAAAGCUCUGUUGUCAGAGACGAACGUAUGUGAGAGUGGAAAGUUCACAUAGUGACGGUAACUGACCAGAAAGGGACGGCUAACUACGUG
rnacentral:rRNA from 1 species